AUGGCGGAGGCAUCAUGGAGCAACUCCCCUCCGUCUGCCAAGCAUCACCGUGGUGAGGCGUCUGGCAAGGAGCCGUUGGUGGUCGACGACGACGUUCCGGUCCCCGGGCAGAAGCGGGACUACACCGUGCCGCUCAAGGUUGAUAUCCACCUGAAGGAGCCGCUGGAUAUCGUAUGCACCAGCAAUCCAGACGAAGCCGACAAGAUGAUCCGCAAGAUGAGGAGGAGGCUCGGCGGCAUGCUUUCUCGGAAUAUCAGCGUUGAUGUCGAGUAUACCAGGGAAGACAAACCUCCGCAAAUUGCUGCAAUUCUGCAGUUAUGCAUGGAGGAUCUCGUCCUGGUAUACCACAUCACCGCGGCAACCAAAUGGCCCAAGGAACUCCGCCCGCUCCUGCAGGAGAAGAAGCUGUACACCUUUGUUGGCUUCUGCAUUAGAGGCGACAAGGAGAAGCUGAAGUUGUCUGGUUUGGAGAUCAACCCCGACAAGUACGUCGACUUGCAGCGCAAAUGGAGAGUUCCAAACAAUUGA
rnacentral:rRNA from 1 species